rnacentral:rRNA from 1 species
GAAAGUGGGGGACCGCAAGGCCUCACGCUACAGGAGCGGCCGAUGUCUGAUUAGCUAGUUGGUGGGGUAAAGGCCCACCAAGGCGACGAUCAGUAGCUGGUCUGAGAGGACGAUCAGCCACACUGGGACUGAGACACGGCCCAGACUCCUACGGGAGGCAGCAGUGGGGAAUUUUGGACAAUGGGGGCAACCCUGAUCCAGCAAUGCCGCGUGUGUGAAGAAGGCCUUCGGGUUGUAAAGCACUUUUGUCCGGAAAGAAAUCGCUCUGGUUAAUACCUGGGGUGGAUGACGGUACCGGAAGAAUAAGCACCGGCUAACUACGUGCCAGCAGCCGCGGUAAUACGUAGGGUGCGAGCGUUAAUCGGAAUUACUGGGCGUAAAGCGUGCGCAGGCGGUUUUGUAAGACAGGUGUGAAAUCCCC